rnacentral:lncRNA from 1 species
GCCAUGAAUGCGGAAAACAGAAAAGGCGGACGAUACCAAUUCCAACACAAUGGGUAUUGUUAAGUAACAAGCGCAUCAAGAGAAUUUUGUCCGCAAGGUCAAAACGACACCAAAGUUUAUCGAUGUAACUGCAUAUUACCAUCAAUAAACGGUAAUCAAAAAUUAUAAAUUGACGGCACAAGUUGCGAAUCUCGAUGACUGUAAAACCUACUGCUAUAGAGGGUUGACACUGAAAUUUCAUUUUUUGGUUAUUUUAUAAUCAAUGGUCAAACGGAAACAAACAAUACAGGUCAAUAAUUGAAACACUUGCCUGAACGACGGGGAAUCUGAGAAUUCAGGGAACGAGCGACGGGAGGAAAACAUUAACGUCUUAUUGUUGAAGAAACUGACGGUCCAACCUGAAGUAUUGCGCAUAUUUCAUGUCAGCCCUGUUCUCGAUUACUGAUCAAUUCAGUGCUCCGGAAAUGAAUACUUGGGGGAGCACAUAUGACUGAAGGGACAAUACUCGUUGCCGCAACACGCUUGUUGUAACCCCAUAGAUCUGGUUUCUUGGUGAGUUGUUCGUAGAAUGUUAUGUUGCAUUAUACUUUGCGUUCAUUGUACAGAAUAUAAAUUUCCAUUGCAUAGUUUCAACGUUGCGGACCAAAUUGUCAGAUAGAUGUUCAUAAAAUUUGCUACGAAGUUUGUAUGCAAAGAAUUGACCAGUUCAUCCCGUGAACACGCGAAAUGG